GCUAGCUACAGGCUUAACACAUGCAAGUCGAGGGUUUUCAGGAAGAAAGCUUGCUUUCUUUGCUGGCGACCGGCGCACGGGUGAGUAACACGUAUCCAACCUGCCCUUUACUCGGGGAUAGCCUUUCGAAAGAAAGAUUAAUACCCGAUAGUAUAAUGAUUCCGCAUGGUUUCAUUAUUAAAGGAUUCCGGUAAAGGAUGGGGAUGCGUUCCAUUAGGUUGUUGGUGAGGUAACGGCUCACCAAGCCUUCGAUGGAUAGGGGUUCUGAGAGGAAGGUCCCCCACAUUGGAACUGAGACACGGUCCAAACUCCUACGGGAGGCAGCAGUGAGGAAUAUUGGUCAAUGGGCGCGAGCCUGAACCAGCCAAGUAGCGUGAAGGAUGACUGCCCUAUGGGUUGUAAACUUCUUUUAUAUUAGAAUAAAGUGCAGUAUGUAUACUGUUUUGUAUGUAUAAUAUGAAUAAGGAUCGGCUAACUCCGUGCCAGCAGCCGCGGUAAUACGGAGGAUCCGAGCGUUAUCCGGAUUUAUUGGGUUUAAAGGGAGCGUAGGUGGACUGGUAAGUCAGUUGUGAAAGUUUGCGGCUCAACCGUAAAAUUGCAGUUGAUACUGUCAGUCUUGAGUACAGUAGAGGUGGGCGGAAUUCGUGGUGUAGCGGUGAAAUGCUUAGAUAUCACGAAGAACUCCGAUUGCCAAGGCAGCUCACUGGACUGCAACUGACACUGAUGCUCGAAAGUGUGGGUAUCAAACAGGAUUAGAUACCCUGGUAGUCCACACAGUAAACGAUGAAUACUCGCUGUUUGCGAUAUACAGUAAGCGGCCAAGCGAAAGCAUUAAGUAUUCCACCUGGGGAGUACGCCGGCAACGGUGAAACUCAAAGGAAUUGACGGGGGCCCGCACAAGCGGAGGAACAUGUGGUUUAAUUCGAUGAUACGCGAGGAACCUUACCCGGGCUUAAAUUGCAGUGGAAUGAUGUGGAAACAUGUCAGUGAGCAAUCACCGCUGUGAAGGUGCUGCAUGGUUGUCGUCAGCUCGUGCCGUGAGGUGUCGGCUUAAGUGCCAUAACGAGCGCAACCCUUAUCUUUAGUUACUAACAGGUCAUGCUGAGGACUCUAGAGAGACUGCCGUCGUAAGAUGUGAGGAAGGUGGGGAUGACGUCAAAUCAGCACGGCCCUUACGUCCGGGGCUACACACGUGUUACAAUGGGGGGUACAGAAGGCAGCUACCUGGUGACAGGAUGCUAAUCCCAAAAGCCUCUCUCAGUUCGGAUCGAAGUCUGCAACCCGACUUCGUGAAGCUGGAUUCGCUAGUAAUCGCGCAUCAGCCACGGCGCGGUGAAUACGUUCCCGGGCCUUGUACACACCGCCC
rnacentral:rRNA from 1 species